GAUGAACGCUAGCGGCAGGCUUAAUACAUGCAAGUCGAGGGGCAGCGCAGUGUAGCAAUACAUGGGCGGCGACCGGCAAACGGGUGCGGAACACGUACGCAACCUACCCAUAACUGAUGAAUAGCCCUCCGAAAGGAGGAUUAAUACAUCGUAACAUAAUGAAGUGGCAUCACUUUAUUAUUAUAGCUCCGGCGGUUUUGGAUGGGCGUGGGCCUGAUUAGGUAGUUGGCGGGGUAACGGCCCACCAAGCCUGCGAUCAGUAACUGGUGUGAGAGCACGACCAGUCACACGGGCACUGAGACACGGGCCCGACUCCUACGGGAGGCAGCAGUAAGGAAUAUUGGUCAAUGGACGCAAGUCUGAACCAGCCAUGCCGCGUGAAGGAUGAAGGUCCUCUGGAUUGUAAACUUCUUUUAUAUGGGACGAAACCUCUUAUUCUUAAGAGACUGACGGUACCAUAGGAAUAAGCACCGGCUAACUCCGUGCCAGCCGCCGCGGUAAUAC
rnacentral:rRNA from 1 species